rnacentral:rRNA from 1 species
UACGUAGGGUGCAAGCGUUGUCCGGAAUUAUUGGGCGUAAAGAGCUCGUAGGCGGUUUGUCGCGUCGGCUGUGAAAACCCGGGGCUCAACCCCGGGCCUGCAGUCGAUACGGGCAAACUAGAGUGCGGUAGGGGAGACUGGAAUUCCUGGUGUAGCGGUGAAAUGCGCAGAUAUCAGGAGGAACACCGGUGGCGAAGGCGGGUCUCUGGGCCGUAACUGACACUGAGGAGCGAAAGCGUGGGGAGCGAACAGG